rnacentral:rRNA from 1 species
UAGGGAAUCUUCCACAAUGGACGCAAGUCUGAUGGAGCAACGCCGCGUGAGUGAAGAAGGUUUUCGGACCGUAAAGCUCUGUUGUUGGUGAAGAAGGAUAGAGGUAGUAACUGGCCUUUAUUUGACGGUAAUCAACCAGAAAGUCACGGCUAACUACGUGCCAGCAGCCGCGGUAAUACGUAGGUGGCAAGCGUUGUCCGGAUUUAUUGGGCGUAAAGCGAGCGCAGGCGGAAGAAUAAGUCUGAUGUGAAAGCCCUCGGCUUAACCGAGGAAUUGCAUCGGAAACUGUUCUUCUUGAGUGCAGAAGAGGAGAGUAGAACUCCAUGUGUAGCGGUGGAAUGCGUAGAUAUAUGGAAGAAUACCAGUGGCGAAGGCGGCUCUCUGGUCUGCAACUGACGCUGAGGCUCGAAAGCAUGGGUAGCGAACAGGAUUAGAUACCCUGGUAGUCCAUGCCGUAAACGAUGAGUGCUAAGUGUUGGGAGGCUUCCGCCUCUCAGUGCUGCAGCUAACGCAUUAAGCACUCCGCCUGGGGGAGUACGACC